ensembl:lncRNA
GUUAGGGUUAGGGUUAGGGUUAGGGUUAGGGUUAGGGUUAGUGUUUUCUUUAGGGUUAGGGUUAGGUUAGGGUAAGGUUUUGGGUGGGGGUUAGAUUUAGGGUUAGGAUUAAUGUUAGGUUUAGGGUUAGGGUUAGGUUUAUGGUUAGGGUUAGAUUUAGGGUUAGGAUUAAUGUUAGGGUUAGGGUUAGGGUUAGGAUUAUUGUUAGGGUUAGUGGUAGGGCAGGGUUAGGGUUAGGGUUAGGGUUGGGUUUGGGUUAGGAUAAGGGUUUGGGUUAUGGUUAGCAUUCGGGUUAGGGUUCGGUUUAUGUUUAGGGUUAGGGUUAGUGCUAGGGUUAGGAGUUAGGGAUAGGGUUAGGGUUACCUUUAGGGUUAGGUUUAGCUUAAGGGUUUGGGUUCAGGUGCGGGUGAGGGUUAUGGUUAGGGUUAGGGUUAGGAUUAGGUUUAGGGUUAGGGUUACCUUUAGGGUUACCUUUAGGGUUAGGUUUAGCUUAAGGGUUUGGGUCCGGGUGCGGGUGAGGGUUUGGGUUAGGGUUAGGAUUAGGUUUAGGGUUAGGGUUAUGGUUAGGGUUAGGCACAGGUUUAGGGUUAGGUUAGGGUUAGGGUUAGACACAGGGUUAGGGUUACGGUUAGGGUUAGGGUUUGGGCUAGGGUUAGGUUUAGGGUAAGGUUUAGGGUUAGGGUUAUGGUUAGGCUUAGGUUAGGGUAAGGGAUUGGGUUACGGUUAGGGUUCGGGUUAUGGUUAGCGUUAGGAUUAAUGUUAGGAUUUGGUUAGGGUUAGGGUUAGGGUUAGGGUUAGUGUUAGGGUUAGGAUUAGGGUUAGGGUUCGGGUUAGGGUUUGGGUUAGGUUUAGUGUUUGGGUUAGGUUUAGGGUUUGAGUUUGGGUUAGGGUUAGGGUAACGUUUAGGGUUAGUGCUUGGGUUAGGAACAGUCUCAGAUUUAGGGUUAGGGUUAGGGUUAGGGUUAGUUUCAGAGUUAGGGUUAGGGUUAGAGUUAGUUUCAGAGUUAGGGUUAGGGUUAGGUUUAGCAUUAUGUUUAGGGUGAGGGUUUGUGUUAGGGUUAGGGGUAGCUUUAGGUUUUGGGUAAGUUUAGGGUAAGGGUUUUGUUAUGUGUUAGAUUUAGUUUAGGAUUAAUGUUUGGGUUUGGGUUAGUGUUAGGGUUGGGGUUAGGGUUAGAGUUAGGGUUAGGGUUAGGUUUAGGAUUAUGAUUAGUGUUUUGGUAAGUGUUAGGAUUAGGGUUAGGAUUAAUGUUAGGGUUCGUGUCAGGGUUAGCUUUAGGGUUAGGUGUAGGAUUUUGGUUAGGGUUAGGGUUAGAGUUAGGGCAAGGGUUAUGAGUUAGGGUUAGUGUUAGUGUUAGGUUAGGGUUUGGGUUAGGUUAAGUGUUAGGGUUAGGGUUAGUGUGAAGGUGAGGGUUAGGGUUAGACACAGGUUUAGGAUUUGGGUUAGGUUUAGGGUAGGGUUAAUGUUCGGUUUAGGGUUAGGUUAGGGUUCCGGUUAGGGUUAGUGUUACGGUUAGGGUUAGGGUUAGGUUUCAGUUAGGAUAAGGGUUAGUGUUAGGCUUACUGUUUGGGUUAGGGUUACGUUUUGGGUUAGGAUUGGAGUUAGGGUUAGGGUUAGGGCUAGGGUUAGGAGUUAGGGUUUGGGUUAGGGUUAGGAUUAGGGUUUCGGUUAGGGUUAGGGUUAGGGUAACAUUUAGGCACUGGGUUAGUGUUAGGUUUAGGGUUAGUGUAGGGUUAAGGUUCCUGUUAGGCUUAAGGUCAAAGUUAGGGUAAGGGUUAGGGUUAGGUUUGGGUUAGAGGUAGGGUUUGGGUAAGGGUUAGGAUUACCAUUAGGGUUAGCCUUAGGGUUAGGGUUAGGGUUAGGAUUAGGGUUAUGGUUAGGGUUAGGGUUAGUGUUAGGUUUAGGGUAAGUUUUCGGUUUAGGGCCGGGUUAGGUUAAGGGUUACGGUUAGGGUUAGGUUUAGGGUUAGAGUUAGGGUUAUGGUUGGGUUAGGAUAAAAGUUAGGGUUAGGGUUAGGGUAUUAGGGUAAGUGUUAGGGUUAGGGUUAGGUUUAGCAUUUGGUUUAGGGUUAAGGUAAGCGUUAGUGUUAGGGUUAGUUUUAGGGUAAGGGUUAGGGUUAGGGUUAUGAUUAGGGUUAGGAUUGGGGUUAGGGUUAGGGUUUUGGUUACGGUUAGGGUUAGGUUUGAGGUAAGGGUUAGCGUUAGGGUUAGGGUUAGGGUUAGGGUUAGGCUUAGGGUUAGGGUUAGGGCUAGGAUUAGGGUUAGGGUUUAGGGUUAGAAUUUGGGUUAGGUUUAGGGUUAGGGUUAGGUUUAGGGUUAGUUUUAGGGUUUGGGUUAGGGUCAGGGUAAGGUUAGGGUUAGAUUUAGGGAUAGGGUUAGUGUUUAGGUUUGCGUUAUGUUUAGGUUUAGGGUUAGGGUUAAGAUUAGGUUUAGGGUAGUUUUAUGGAUAGGGUUAGAGUGAAGUUUGUGUUGGGGUUAGCGUUAGGGUUAGGAUUAUUCUUAGGGGUAGCGUAGGGGUAAUGUUAGGGUUUGGGUUAGGGUUGGGAUUAGGGUUAGGUUUAUAAUAGGGUUAGGGUUAAGUUUAGGGUUAAUGUACGGUUAGCCUUAGGGUUAGGGUUAUCGGUAAAGUUUAGGGUUUUUGAUAGGGUUAGGGUAGGGUAAGGAUUAGGGUAACGUUUAGGUUAGGGUUAGGUUUAGGGUUGGGUUUAGGCUUAGGUUUGGGGUUAGGGUUAGUAUUAUGUUUAGUUACAUUUAGGGUUACGUUUAGGGUUACAGUUAGGGUUAGGGUUUUGGUAAGUUUUAGGAUUAAGGUUAGGGUUACGUUUUGUAUUGAGAUUAGUGUUAGGUUUAGUGUUUUGUUUAGGGUUAGUGUAAGGGUUUGGGUUAGGUUUAGGGUUAGGGUUAGGGUUAGGGUUUGUUUUGGGCUUAGGGUAAGAGUUAGUGUUAAUGUUAGAAUUAGGUAAGGAUUAGGUUUAGGGUUAGGGUUAGGUUUUCGUUUAGGGUUAGGGUUAGGGUUUGUAUCAGGGUUAAGGUUAGAGUUAGGAAAUGUAGCUUCACCAAUUAGAAAUAAGAUACAAAUAGGAACAGUUAAGGUAGAGAGUGUUAGAGGAUAAAGAUUCCAAGCACUUUCACAUACACUAGGUCUGGAAUAACAAGGAGGAUGAAGGCGAUAAAGAUAAGUACAGGAGAGCAGGUCAAAUAAAUUUGGCAGGUGGGUGAUUAGACGUCUACAGGGGAAGCUGAAACCGGUUCAAGGGAUGCCCCCCUUUGGGAUCAGAAUUUUACAUUGAGGAAGACUACGUGCCUUCAUGAGGAAGUGGCGAGG